GUGGGUAUAGCUCAAGUGGUAGAACACAUGCUUAGCAUGCACAUGCUUGAGGUCCUGGGUUCAAUACCCAGUACCUCCU
rnacentral:tRNA from 1 species